UCGCAUUCGCUGCACUUGGGACUAGCUCUGAGAGUCUCUCAGCACUGGCACGCUCAUGGACAGGCAGAAAUCGGAGAUAUGUUUAGUAUCACAUCACUGUUCGUAGUGUUCACAUCGUGUCUAGAAAAAGUGGGCAUUUUUGUACUACAUACAUUCAUGUUUCGGUGGUGAAGAUUUAACGAAAGAGAAAGGAUUCCGCUGUGGCCGAUGUGCCCGUGAGGACGUUUCCUUUGAGGAAAUUAAAAAAAAACUCGGACAAGUUUCCCUGUUUUUUUUUUUUUGAGAAUGGGAAAUUCAAGAGGGGUGAUGAAAUAAAGGAUCAUACACUCCGUCAAGUGUUAUGCAAGAAGAUUGUCUUACCUUCUAAAAAGAGACACUCUUUCGACGGAAUAUCCCUCAUGGUAGAAGUUAGUUUGUGCUCAGCCGUCGUGAGAGGACAAUUAAGUGAAAGGUGUGCUGGGAAAAAGGUUUUUUUUUGAGAAGAGAACAUUGGUGAAUGAAAUUCAGUGGAAGAAUUAAAUGGGAGACAGGGAUUGCGAUUGGGGCUUCCUACGAAGUUACUCAACAUUGUGCCGUGGAGUUUGAAAAUAAUAUCCAAUUCCUUGGGUGAAAAGCACAAAAUAAUUCCAGACAUCGUCAGUUGGUGGUUUUUUCAGAUGAAACUUAACACUCGGAACGUGUGAUUUCCUCACUCGAGUGUUGUAACUUGGCAAAUAGACAUUCGCGUCUCUUCUCUCCUUGUUUCAUGUGAAAACUCACUGCAUUUUCCUUCACGUGCUGGCAAAAAAAAGACACAAAAUCAUCUUCAAUGUAUUUUUAGUGUAACAUCAAAUUUUCCUAAUCACACAGCAUUUGUUCCUCCUAAAUUUAAUAUUUGCACUGUGUGCGGAGAAAUUGUGUUUGAGGUUUUUCGCGUUUUAGUGAAAAAUCUCCGUUACUUUGACCUCCGAAAGUUCCACACAUGAAUUUUUGGGGCAAUCCGUGCAGAUUCUGCAUGAAAUACAUUUUCUCAUGAUAGUUUUUUUUUGAGUGGAAUGUGUUGAAAUUUGUUGAUUAGAAAUAGAAAAAAAAAUCAGAACAAGUGGUAAUGCUGAUAAAUGGAUUUCAUCGUAGUUGUGGAACGAGGAGUCCGGUGUUGUUGAACUUUAUUCAAGUGAUUUAAUGAAAAAUUAAUUUUCCUACAAUACUGUCUACGGUAUCACUGAGUAUCGAUUAGAUUCUCAGCACUUGUGCCACUUUCGAAGAAUUUUCUGCUAUCUGAACCAAGCAGAAAAAGAGAGUGAGAAAUUUUCCCCGUGAAAUUGCACAAAACUAUGGAUUUAAAGUGACUGUGAACUGUGUGAGGGGUUGAAUUUUUUUUAUUUAUAAAAAAGGACACAGAGCUCAUUGAAGCAUCUAGUGGCAUAUUUGGAAUAACAAUUCAUCCAAUAAAAUAUAUAUGGUGUGUUAUUUUAUGUUGUUGGAAAAAAUAGUUCCUGCAAACUGGAUUGGUUUACACUGCAUCGUAACCGAAUGUGACAUUAUAAAAAAUAAAUGGGUACAAUGAGGCCAAAUAAAUACGAUGUUACCACAGUUUACCGUCUAUGCGAAGAUUUUGUGCCUCCUGAUGGUGGUGAUGGGAGCAUUAAGUACAACUUUAGACACAACCUUGAUAUCGGGAUGCUCAGGCAAAGCCAUACAAAUGGACAGUGCCGGACGUGUUUUUGCUUCCGACCAGCAUCAAAAAGUAACCCUUACAUCCCACAUAGUCACCUCAAAACAUGGAAAUAUAACUACCCAUAUAACUCUAUACUUCAAAGAGCAACAAAAAUUCAUUUGCUUCAGCAAAAGAUGGAAAUUAGUAGGAUUGAAAAAGAAGCGCGACAAACGCUGCUACUUCCAGGAGACAAUGAAAAAUGGCAAUUUUCAAUACCAAUCAAUUAUCGAUGGAAACAAAUUUAUAGGUUUUCGCAAAAACGGUAAACCCAUUCACUAUGAUGUGGAGCCGAAGAAUCUAGAUGCCAAUUGCCUAUCAUUCCUUAAGCUCGAUAAUAAGAGUAGUGCCAAUGGGAAUAUAAUUUCUCAUUGGGAAAUGCUUGAUGAUGCGAGAGCAGAUCAUGGCAUGAGCCAUUCCAAGACUAACAACAACAAACGAAAGCAGCUGAGGCGCCAAGAGGGACAUAGGCCACGGGUGAAUCAGAUAAAGCACAACCAAAAUAAGGAUACGGGCAGGUUUGAGAAGAAGGUAGUAAGGUAUUCAGCACACGAAGCAACAUCAAGCAUUCCACUGGAUCCGUUGCCCAGUGUACGAUCGCUGGACACGCGAAGGGGUAGUGAUGUGACGGAGAAGAGGCAUGGACGACGGAAGGAGUUGCAUCGUCACCUCAAACAUCACCCUCAUUCCGAACAGGAGAGGACGCACUUUAGUCUUGAGCAAUACUCAAGUGACGUCAUUAGGUCACUACACAAUGAUCCCCAUCGACAUAGUGGCUCGAAGCAUGGCCACCGGAAGUUCCAUUCAGUUGGUUAGUGCUUGGAGAAGACCUAAACCUCCACCUCUUUCUCUCUCUAUCUCUUUUCCCGCCCAAUUUUGCAUCUCUCUUCCUCAGAAGUACUUAAUUAUACUUGUUAGUCAUUCGUUACAAAAAGCACAUUGCUAACUGACCUCUAUACUUAUUGCAACUCUACUAUAUACAUUUAAAUGUAAAAUUCGUAUUUAGUGACUUUGCAUUAUUAGGUGUAAAAAAAAUAAGGACAAAAAAUUAAAGUGCAAGCAAUAAUAAAUUAAAAUGAAAAUUCUCGAAAUGUUGAAUUUAAUAUAAUUUUAGUCAAAAACUUUCAAUUCUAUAUACAUUUUAUAGAAGAAUUUAACUCUUGCUGAAAAGAAAGCACUUACUUUAAAAUUCAAUAAAAUCUAAAUUAUUUUUCAAAAAACUGACCCCCAAUAUUACUCGCACACAAUUCAACAAAUUUAUUGUCGAAUAAAAUUUAUCUAAUAGAAUAAAAUGUCCUCUUUGAUGGUUUUAUUUUUAAAAUCAAUUAUUAAAAAAAAUAUGAUGUCAUUUCAGUUCAAAUUGUGCAUGUAUUCACCUUGAACGUGAAUGUUUUUCGGAAACGAAAAUUUAAGAAAAACACACAAACAAAAAAAUUUUGUUGAAUAAAGUUGAUAAUUUUAUUCACAAACAUUUAAACAGUAUUAUAAAAUGCAUAGAUUGAUGCUGAUCAUCAUUAAAGGAAAUGAGAGAUAUUUUAUUCUUCACGGCACAAAAUAUCUCUUUCACUUUCUUCUCUGUAAUAUAGUGAAAACAAAACUUAACCAUUUAAUUAAAAAAAAAAUGACAAAAGUCAUGAUAAAUCCUCUUUAUAUAUUUAGGGAAACUUUCGCUCAAUAUUUUCACAUUGUCGAGAAAUUACAAUUAAAAAAAAUUUAUUGAAAUUUGCUAAUUUUUAAAAAUUUCAUUCUUAUGUGUACCUAGAACUUUGUAUAAAAAAUCAUAUAUAUAUUUACUUAAUAAGCGCAUUUUGUGGAGUUAAUUCCAUGAAAAUUAUUAUGCAUUAAUGAAAAUAGCAUUGGAACACACAUUGUGUCUGAUAUGCAGGAAAUAUGUAAGGAUGAGAUAAAAUAUGAAUGAAAAAGAAAAAUUAGAAAAGUGAAAGAAAACAUACAUAAUUCUAUAUGUAAGUGUGCCAUGUAUUAAAUAAGUUUUGUUGUACAUUUUUUUAAGUUUAGAUAAUAGAAAGGAUAAUAACCUUAUAUACUGAAAAUAGAAAAGCAAUUUCUUAUAAUUUAUAAUAUGUGUAAAUAAUGUAUAUUGAAGUUUUAUACAAUUUAAUUUAUUCGAAAUAUUUUUUUAUAUAUUAUGUAUAUUUUAAAUUAGAAGAAAAAACAAGAAAAUUGGCAGAAAUUAUAGUUUUGCUUUACAAAAAAAAAAAAUUCGCGGAAAUAAUUUUUUUUUCAAUUAUUUCAGACAUAUUUUGUUGAUUCUUGUGGAAUAGCAAAGAUAAGCACAAAAGACGAAUUAAAUACACUGAUGAAGGACCUUUGAGCGUUCAAUUCAGAUGAAUACUAAAAAAAAGAAAAGAAAACAGUAUCCAAUAUAAAUUGAAACGAAUUGGACCAUAAACUCCACAUAACAUGUAAACGGCCUCAAUUUUAUUUAUUGUACAUAAUAAUUAAAAUAUAAUAAUGCAAAAUGCCUCAAAUAUAGCCCUUUUAUUAAUCAAUUUCGAAAGUCAUUUAAAAUUCUUAUUCAAAAUUGUUCCAUUCAAAAAUACAUUUUACAUAAUUAAUCCAAUUAAAAUUGAAUAAUUAUUAAUAUUUGAGAAAAAAUUAAAAUUAUUAACUUUCCAUAAAUAUGCACACCUUGUGGUGCCAUAAACUUUAAUGUUUAUUACCAGUAACAGGGCAAAAUUUGAAGAAAAAAUACAAGAAGUAACAAUGUAAUUUUGUAAUCUCUUCAAAUACACGACUGAACGUAAAAAAUGUACAAUUAAAGAAGCGCUUGAAAAAAGAACAUAAAUCUGCAUUUUCGAAAAAAUGAUCAAUAAAACGCAAUUCAAACAUAAAUUUGUAUAAAAUGUAACUAAACUACAAUUUAAUAAAAAUGCCAAAAAAUUAAAUUGAAAA